rnacentral:lncRNA from 1 species
UUUUGAAAGACCCAUCUUGUCUGAACUCCACAAAGAAGAAUGGAAGAACUUUUGCCUGUGCUUUGGCCUCAGCAUUAAGGGGGAGUAACUUCCUUUGAAGACCAGGGUGGUGGUAACAAGGAUAUCCAGACUGAAAGAAUGCCAAGAAGGAGGUUUACAGACAAGUGGCUUUCUUCCUUCAAAGGACAAUUUUGUGCAGAUAACCUAGGAAGAAAUAUUGAUGUUCUCUGAAUUUCCCUGAAUUCUUCCCUUGCUUAGACUGCUAGAUCUGUGAAAAAAAAUCCAGCAAACACCGUGAGCAUGGAUCUUUUUCCAUUCCGAAAAAGAAAUUGGUUUUAAAGCAUGGUAACAGCAAUACACUUAAUAUGAAGUUUGAGGAUUUCAGGGCACCUAGAGUUAUCAAGGUAAGAAAUAAUUUAUGGAAAGAUUAUUGGGGAGUGUAGG